UGGCUGUAGCUACAUGAAUUCAUUUGAGAAGUUUACUGGCCGGUUGUUGUUCUACUGUCGACACAUCUGCUUACCGAACUUCUUACAUUU